rnacentral:rRNA from 1 species
GACGAACGCUGGCGGCGUGCUUAACACAUGCAAGUCGAACGGAAAGGCCCUGCUUGCAGGGUACUCGAGUGGCGAGCGGGUGAGUAACACGUGUGUGAUCUGCCCUGCACUUCGGGAUAAGCCUGGGAAACUGGGUCUAAUACCGGGGAGGAGCCCUCUUUAUUGUGAUGGUUGGAAAGUUUUUUCGGUGUAGGAUGAGCUCGCGGGCUAUCAGCUUUGUGGUGGGGUAAUGGCCUACCAAGGCGGCGACUGGUAGCCGGCCUGGGGGGGUGGACGGCCAACUUUGGGCUUGGGGACGGCCCCGAACCCUACCGGAGGGAAGAGGGGGGAAAAUUGCACAAUGGGCGCGAGCCCGAUGGAGGCACGCCGCGGUGGGGAUGAACGGCUUCCGGUUUGUAACCCCCUUCGCUCGGGGAGGAACUGUGAGUGACGGUACCUAGUUAAGAAGCACCGGCUAACUACGUG